ACCAAUUCCAUCCAUCACAGCUAUUGCAUCAUCAUUGAUUGUCUUUAAUUACAUUAUCAAUCAAUUGCUAUCGACGGUUGUGAUGGGUGGAAUUUACUAGAAUGAUUCCAACCCCUCCCAUCCCCUUUUUUGUGCAGUGUUUUUUUCUCAGCACCAACAAAACAGAGGCUCUCGCCGAGGUGGAGCCGCCUCUUACUUUGACGCAGUAGAUGAUGACACUUCUCCAUCAAAGUGAUCAAACACACUCUCCUCUACUCUGUCUGAUGAAUAAGAAGAAGCCUCAGAAGAACAAGAAGUUGAUUACGAUUCUGCAGGAGGACGAGAAAAACGACCUAAAUCCAUCACCCGCCGAAAUGCCCUAUAGGUUCCUUCUCCACCAGUAAUCCGUACAGCCCCUGGAUGUAGGUGGGAGGAUGCCUCUCCAUUUCCAGGAAGAUUUCUGUAGCACCGCUCUUCUUAGUAUGUAUGGUAGCAAGCUGAAUUCGACAUCAUUGAGUGUAAAACAAGUAUUAGUCUCCACUUUCACCUCCAGAAACAGCAGCAAAAAUUCCGCAUGUAUUUUCAUAUGGCUGGAGGCUAUAAGUGUUCUCAAUUUCCUUCAUAUGAUGCAGGGGACACAGAAUUUAUGUUGUGGGCAUCAAUGUGUCCUCCUUUUCGUUUGAUUCUUAAAACUGGAAUAUGUGUAACUCAUGCUUAGAUGAUCAUUUCCUGAGAUCAAAGACUGCUUAGAUGAAGUGUCCACUUUUGGCUUCGCCAAAUGCCACACCGAGAAAAUGAGGAGUAACAGAAGGAUUUGGGGUCGGUAAGGACGUGAAGUACGAGGAGGUGAAAAUUUUUCCACAUGAGGAUGCAUGGAAUGCCUAUAUUGUUGGUGUUGCUAACUGUUCGUAGUAUUUUGCAAUCUCUGACUGGGAUGCUGCGACUGAUUGCUAUGACGAACAGAGCAACAGCAAGAGUAAGCAUGAUUAGGUGAAAGUGAGCUAUUUACAUGGUAGUGAACUGGAUUCUAAAUGGGCAAGAAUAAUGGAAUGGAAUUUGAAUGGUGUAAUUUGACACAUUUAGGAAUCUUGUUGCUUGAUUGUUCUGUGAAAAUUGCUGAGUCUCACAUGUUCGGCUGUCACACGUUUUAUACGAGCCCAAGCCUCUCUGUUCCAUUA